UACGUAGGGGGCAAGCGUUAUCCGGAUUUACUGGGUGUAAAGGGAGCGUAGACGGCAUGGCAAGUCUGAUGUGAAAACCCGGGGCUCAACCGCGGGACUGCAUUGGAAACUGUCGGGCUAGAGUGUCGGAGAGGCAAGUGGAAUUCCUAGUGUAGCGGUGAAAUGCGUAGAUAUUAGGAGGAACACCAGUGGCGAAGGCGGCUUGCUGGACGAUGACUGACGUUGAGGCUCGAAAGCGUGGGGAGCAAACAGG
rnacentral:rRNA from 1 species